rnacentral:rRNA from 1 species
GAUGAACGCUAGCGGCAGGCUUAAUACAUGCAAGUCGAGGGGCAGCAUGGGUGUAGCAAUACAUCUGAUGGCGACCGGCAAACGGGUGCGGAACACGUACAGAACCUUCCUUCGAGCGGGGAAUAGCCCAGAGAAAUUUGGAUUAAUACCCCAUAGUAUAUUGAAGAGGCAUCUCUUUAAUAUAAGAUUAUCACUUGAAGAUGGCUGUGCGGCU